AUUUUCUGUUGGUGACUUUCAAUUAUCACUAACUCCAGGGAGAACAUUGUAUGAGUUUAUUUUGUAAAGAAAAUUGCAAGAUAUCAGAUACCACAUGAUUUACAUGUAAUGGCCUUCUAAGGAACCCAGAAGAUCGGUUUGUCAGGAAAAAUUUUGCCUGUUUCUCAGGACAUAAAUGUCUGGAGAUUUUUGUAGAAGCUGUGAGCACUGUGAUAGCUCGGGCUUUCACAAGGUAUUUGCAGAAGGAACAAAGCUCAUAGUAAUUCCCUCCGGUAAGUACCUUUUAUUCUGCUUUAUUCCAGUGAUGAAAAGAACAUAUAUGGUUGCAUAAAAAUAGAAAUCUACUAUUAUCUACUGUACCUGACUACAAUAUUCUUAGCCUGAGUCAUUUUUGAGGUUAUAUUCUGAAUAUGAUAACAAAAACUACUUUGUAAAUGGUUACUUCUUUUCCUCCAGAAAAAAUAGAAUCUCUGUGUUUAGAAUAUUUACACAUGCAAAGGGUAAGUGGAAGUUAUUUUAAGGAUCAGAUACAUAACUUUUUGGUAACCUUUUGCUUCAAGAUACUAUUGUGAAAGCAAUUUGAGUGUGAGUCCUCAAAACUGGAGUUUUGAUGAUGACUCUUAUAUGUAUUUUGAAAUACAACUUUCUCCAGACAAACUGUGAAAUCUUUAUUGGUUUUGAUCAUAAUUCACAGUAAAUUACUGUAGAACACGAAUAAAUCCCUGUCUUAUUUGUCUGACUCCUUACAGGUAGAUUGGAACAGGACCCAAUUUAUGUCACUCUGAUUCUUGAAAUAUUAUCUGGAGAUUUCUCUAUUAAAAUUUGUAGUUGACACAAACUAUUUCUGUCCAGUGUCUAUGAAGAAGACUCUUCAUUAAUUUUCAUCUUCAUUUUACCAUUACUAUACUCAUUUUUUUCUACUUCACUUUUUAUAAGAACACUUUUAUUGUCUAAUUAUUAGUAGUCAUACCUGAAUACAUAGUUCCUCCUUUUAUUUCUCUAUGAAAAAGAAAUCUCAAUUAACUCUAAAUUGCAUUCUAGGCUACGAACUGAUCUAUAAAUCAGAACCCUUUAAGGGAAUAAAUACAGAAACUUAUGGAAAAAGUAGAAUAAGACUUCUCAACCUGUGUGAUCAUGGCCCACAUUUCAAGGCAGAGUGUGUUCAGUCCUGAGAUUCUUGAUUACAAUUAAACAUGAUGUGACUUUGUUUCAGUUUUGUCUCCAUUUAAUGUCAACAGAGCCAAUUUUGUAUAUUCAUAUAAAUAGUAAAAUAUUGCUGGGUGUUUUACGUGUUCACAAGAUAAAUUUCAGAUGUUGUGGAUUAUAUGCUAAUUCAUCCAAGUGCUUGACCCUGGCACAAAGCUUAUUUCUGCAGGGACAUAUUCUUUAUAUUCUGUAGAGUAAAGCAGGAAGAGAGGCUGGAGGGCAGGUGCUGCAAGUGCCAGUCUCAGCAUCUUUGACAUUGUUCCUAGUUUGGCCAUUUCUGUCCAGAGAGGUCAGGCUACUUAAAUACAACUAAGGAGUCUGUGUUCUUUCUAUUCUGGUAUGAGAGACAUAAGAAAGGAGUGUGGAGUAACUGAAGAGCCUUCAGCAAUAGAAGCAAUACUUUUAUGUCCAGAGGGUAAAAUAAAACAUAUUUCAGCACCUGUUUUAUUGACUGACAAUGAAGCCCAGCAAUUUUCAAACGUGAUAAUUUAUUCCAUUGUAAAGUUAGAGAAGUAGGUAACUUUUGUAGGUGACUUGGUAGAUAAAGUACUUUCUACACAAGUAUGAGGAUCUGGAUUUAAAUGCUCAGUUAGACUGAAGUGUGCAGCAGUAUCCACACGUGCUCUUAAGGUAAGGUCAUAGGCCUGCUAUACUGAAAUAAGGACAUCUUGUCUGAAACAAAGUAUAAUAGAGGACUGGACCUAGGCUGUCCUCUGACUGCUGAGGGGGUAUAUUAAAUGUGCAUCCCUAACAUAUAUUUUGAGAAAUGCAAAGAAGUUGUUAUAAAGCAAGCCCACUUAUAUACUACCACUAAAUCAUAACAUUUGGUUUCACAGGCUCAUUGGGACUCUUAGCCUAUGAGGUCAGGCUGAUAACAGUGUCCUGAGUUGUCUUUGAGGACCAGUCUUGUGAUAUUAAUUCAUUCAGUUUUCGUGAAAGAGCCAAGCCAGCAAGCAGCUGCAGAAUACUUUGGUGUGAGCUGACUGAAGCUAGAGAGUACCAGAAUAUGUAAAAAAAAUAUGCAGUUUCAUGUGUUGCACUGAUGACUGGGAGCAGAGCCACUGUUUUGCACAGCAGCAAUGAAGUAUUCCAUGCACUGGUACACACUCUACGCUUAAACAUCUCUCCUUUUGCAAUUCUAGAGCAGCAGGCUUCUUGUGAUGGUAGAUUGGGAACACAGGCAUACUAUCACAAAAUAGACUGUAGCUUGUGGGUAAAGGACACCAUUUUUCUCCUUAUUUGACCUGGAUUUAAUUGCAAACCACACCCUCCACUUCUAUGAUUAAUAACAAACCUUUUACUCAUGGAAUGACAAUGUUUCAUUCAAGCAUGAAUCAUAGAAAAAUGUGUUGCUAGCAGCCAUGUUGAUAACCCUUGAAUUUUAAUCCUUUUAAUUAGUUUUCUCACAUUUUUCGUUUUGGUUUCAUUGAUGUACUGAGGUUGAAUUGGGUUGCAAUUAAAGAUAU
rnacentral:lncRNA from 1 species